CAAUAGCGUAUAUUAAAGUUGUUGCAGUUAAAAAGCUCGUAGUUGGAUUUCUGGUUGAAGCGACCGGUCGGGCGUUGAUUCGUCUGCACUGGAGUCGGUUUUGGCCAUCCUCUAGGAAAGUGCGUCUGGUAUUAAGUUAUCGGGCGUAUGAUCCUGGUCUUUUACUGUGAAAAAAUUAGAGUGUUUAAAGCAGGCCUUCGCCUUGAAUACAUUAGCAUGGAAUAAUAAGAUAGGACUUUGGUCUAUUUUGUUGGUUUGCAGACCGAAGUAAUGAUUAAUAGGGAAAGUUGGGGGUAUUUAUAUUCCGAUGUCAGAGGUGAAAUUCUUAGAUUUUCGGAAGAUAAACUUAUGCGAAAGCAUUUACCAAGGAUGUUUUCAUUAA
rnacentral:rRNA from 1 species